GUCUGAGGAUGCGCGUUCCCCCGCUCUGUGCUUUCUGCGCAGCCUCGCGGAGGCGGAGCCUGGUGGUGGUCGGGGUCUCGCGCUGGCUUCCCGGCGCGAAGGGCAGGGGUAGGGGUGGGUGCGGUGCAGACGCGCUUGGAGGGGCGCAGGUGUUGCACGAGCUUGGGGUGGUGGCCGCCCGCAGCGGCCCCUCUCAGGACUCGGGCCGGAGGCCUCGGCCCCGCAGGCCAGUCCCCGGUCUCCCAGGCCAGCCCAGGAAGCAGGGCGAAGGCGGGGCGCCCCUUCCGAGAAGCGGGCCGGCUCCUCCUCCGGGGCCUCCCGUCUUCGGAGAAACGGGCAAGGCCCAGGGACAGAGAGUAAACUCAGGCUCAACUUUUGGGUGGAAGUGCCCCGAGGGUGGUUGAAAGAGACAGUUGUCACUUAUUUGUGAUACCGACCUGGGAUUCAUUGAUCAAUAGAAAUUGAUGAGAGGCCAGAGGAGGCAAGGCUUUACUGGGACUUGUGCUGCAGCCUGAGGGAGGGAAAACAAGUAACAGCUUCCAUUGCUGGAUCCCCGAAGAGGGGUGAGCUGGUCCCGUAAGUGGGGUGAGAAUAGCGGUGGAUACAGGGGUCAGGCCAGACAGGUGACUUAGGUGGUCUGCCCACACCCUUGGUGGUGCUGUGUGCGAGGAUCCUGCACAGGACCCUGCCUUUGCUCCGGCACCUCAGAAGUGGCAGUUGGGUUUUGACCUUUUUGUAUCUUAUUGUUCCUAAUUUGUCCCAACUGCGCAUGCGUGCACUUAUUUUUAGUCCUUUAUAGCUUUUUCCUAUUCUGUUGCUUGAGGAGAUGUUUGUCCAGGUGCAAGCACUGCAGCAAAAGCGUCCUAGGUCCCAGCCUGUUUGCUUUGUCCCUUAGGCCAGGGGAAUGUCAAGGGCAUUACAGGCUCUUAAACUCUCAGCCAGGGGCUUCCCCGGUGGCGCAGUGUUUGAGAAUCCGCCUGCCAAUGCAGGGCACACGGGUUCGAUUCCCUGGUCCGGGAAGAUCCCACAUGUCGCGGAGCAACUAAGCUCGGGUGCCACAACUACUGAGCCUGUGCUCUAGAGCCCGUGAGCCACAACCACUGAGCCCGCGUGCCGCAACUACUGAAGCCCGCGCGCCUAGAGCCCGUGCUCUGCAAUGAGAGAAGCCACUGCAGUGAGAAGCCCGCGCACCGCAACGAAGAGUAGCGCCCGCUCGCCGCAACUAGAGAAAGCCCACGCACAGCAACGAAGACCCAACCCAGCCAAAAAUAAACGAGGAAACUGAGAUGCAGAGAGUUGAGUUGCUGAAGUCCCCCAGCUGAGUUGGUGGCGGAACCUGCCCUGCUCGUUCUUUUUUCAUCUCACGGCGCUGCCUCUUGUUGGACUGCUCUCAGAGGCCGUGCAGACCCACUGUCCAGCCGUCCCCCUGUUCCCGCCCUCCCGGACAGUCACAGGAAGACAGUGGGUUCCAGGAUCCUGGGCCCUCCGGAUCUGAGGUGCUUUGUGAAGUCAGAGGGCCUCCAGAGGGAACGUCUCAAAGUGUGGUGGCCAGGAAGGAGACCAGACGUGAAGGGCACUUCCUCUCUGCUCCAAAGGUGGCCAGGACGAAGCUGGCAGAAGGAGGGCAGUUAGCAGACAUUGCUGCGAUUGGCUGUGGAAACCGAAGGUAUGAGAAGGAUGUGACCCUGGCCACCUGCUGGCUGGCCCAGCCUCCAGCCCACCACUCCGCUUCGGGGCAGGACGCAGACUGGGUUCUGACCAGAGGGAAAAUGCCUUUCUCAAGCUUGGGCUUGGAGUUCUUCCCAGAGUGAUGAGUUCUGGUGAGAAAGAGCCCCACGUUCUUAGAGCCGGCUCUGCAGUGAGGCCCUGCAUCCUUCCUGCCACUGUAAACUCUGCGCUGGCUUCUCCAGAUCAGCCACACGUGGCCCACAGAAAGGGCUGAGCCUCCUGUGGCCACCCAGGGGGAACCCCCUCAUCCAGGGGGCUUUGCCGCUGCCGCCAAAGCCCCCUCGUGUGGGAUUUUUGUCCCUCAUCUCUUUGGAUCUCUGGGGGAGACUGAAUCCUGAGUCCCGCCUCAUUGGCUGCCCGGGCUCCACAGCCCAGCCGCUGCUUGCGAAGGACUUUCGUGGAAUCUCACAGACCACUCAGCAGGGGUGGGAACCAGUGAGUGGGCGGGCUUCGGAGGAGGGACCAUCCCGGGGGCAGCGUUUGAGGCUGGCUGCGGGUCAAAGGCAGAAGUGCUGAUAAACAGGAUUCAAGUCAUCGCUUAGAUAAGCACUUUUGCUUCUGCACCACAGCCUCGUAAAAGUCUUGCUUACCCUUUCCUGAGUACAAAAACAAACUUUCUAAUCGUAAAUAUAAUGUGUGCGACGUGAAGUUUGGCUGGUGGGACUGUUAUCCUUCUCUUGUUGAUGUCAGCCAAUUUCCAAAGUUUCUCUUCAGUAGAGUCUGUUGGUGCCAGACGUUUAUGCAUAGAAGGAUGUUGGAUAUGAAAGCUCAAGAUGGAUGGGGCUGGUGGGCGUGGAGAUACACCUGCCAUGUCCCUUCAGGGAGGGAGGGACGAGUUGCCCCAGCUUCUGGGGGUGUUGUCAGUGGACACCCUUCAGCUGUCAGCCCCUUCAGGAAAUGCUUCGGCUGCUGAGAGCUGCCCAGCCCCGGGUCCCAGCGUCCUGGAGGCAGCCCAUCCAAUGGCUGAUCAACAUGGAGGUAGAGAGUCCUGCCUUUGGGCCCAACAGGGGACAAUGCUGCAAGGCUGGUCCAGCUCCAGAGCUCCCCUGGGGUAGCCUGAGGCCCCUUCCUCUCUCUUCCACAUCUGGUGAUCCCAGAAGUCCUUUCUAAUAAGCAUCCUGAACACGAGGCAGUCUGCUUCCCCGAGAACCCAACCUGCCCCUCUAACACUGGGACAAGUGUGCGUGUGUGUGUGUGUGUGUGUGUGUGUGUGUGUGUGUGCGCGCGCCCAUGCGCUGCAUCUCCUUCUGUAGGGCAAUGAACCUGAAGUUACAGAAAUGGUGAAAACAGACAUUGAGAACAGACUUGGGGUUCCCCGGGGCAGGGAGGUGGGGAGGGAAGGAUUGGGAGUUUGGGAUUAGCAGAUGCAAACUGUUAUAUACAGGAUAGAUAAACAACAAGGUCCUACUAUAUAACACAGGGAACUAUAUUCAGUAUCCUGUGAUAAACCAAGAAUGGA